CUAAUACAUGCAAGUCGAGCGAGCUGAACCAACAGAUUCACUUCGGUGAUGACGUUGGGAACGCGAGCGGCGGAUGGGUGAGUAACACGUGGGGAACCUGCCCCAUAGUCUGGGAUACCACUUGGAAACAGGUGCUAAUACCGGAUAAGAAAGCAGAUCGCAUGAUCAGCUUAUAAAAGGCGGCGUAAGCUGUCGCUAUGGGAUGGCCCCGCGGUGCAUUAGCUAGUUGGUAGGGUAACGGCCUACCAACGGCAAUGAUGCA
rnacentral:rRNA from 1 species